rnacentral:rRNA from 1 species
AUGAUGAACCUUCUCCGAAGAAAACUUCAGAGCUUGCGAGGUGGACAAAAGAUGCUUCGCGGCGAAGGCAAGACAGGCCAAGAGCACGCGGAGAGGCCGAAGCAGGGGGACACGUCGCGCACACAGCCGCACGCAGCAGCAGCGUCGGCAGCCCAGAUCGCCAUGGCGGCCGAGCCGGAGCAGCAGGCGCCCGCGGCGCAGGAGGCGGCCGUGCACAUCGUGUACGUCGACCGCCCCGAGGACGCCGACCCCGAGGAGUUCCACAUCCGCACCCUCGCCCCCGUCCUCGGCAGCGAGGAGAAGGCCAGGGGCGCCGUCCUCUACCACUACAAGCACGCCGCCAGCGGAUUCUCCGCAAAGCUCACCACCGAGCAGGUCGAGGACCUCAAGAAGCAACCAGGUGUCCUUCAGGUUGUGCCGAGCCAGACCUACCAGCUCCAUGGACAUGAGGGUGGACAUGCCAGCACAACGCGCACAAUGGGCCUUAUGUGA